rnacentral:rRNA from 1 species
UACAGAGGGGGCAAGCGUUGUUCGGAAUUAUUGGGCGUAAAGGGCGCGUAGGCGGUGCGGUAAGUCACCUGUGAAAUCUCUGGGCUCAACUCAGAGUCUGCAGGCGAAACUGCCGUGCUUGAGUGUGGGAGAGGUGAGUGGAAUUCCCGGUGUAGCGGUGAAAUGCGUAGAUAUCGAGAGGAACACCUGCGGCGAAGGCGGGUUGCUGGGCUGACACUGACGCUGAUGCGCGAAAGCCAGGGGAGCGAACGGG